rnacentral:rRNA from 1 species
UUGAACGCUGGCGGCAGGCCUAACACAUGCAAGUCGAACGGUAACAGGAAGAAGCUUGCUUCUUUGCUGACGAGUGGCGGACGGGUGAGUAAUGUCUGGGAAACUGCCUGAUGGAGGGGGAUAACUACUGGAAACGGUAGCUAAUACCGCAUAACGUCGCAAGACCAAAGAGGGGGACCUUCGGGCCUCUUGUCAUCGGAUGUGCCCAGAUGGGAUUAGCUAGUAGGUGGGGUAACGGCUCACCUAGGCGCCGAUCCCUAGCUGGUCUGAGAGGAUGACCGGCCACACUGGAACUGAGACACGGUCCAGACUCCUACGGGAGGCAGCAGUGGGGAAUAUUGUACAAUGGGCGCAAGCCUGAUGCAGCCAUGCCGCGUGUAUGAAGAAGGCCUUCGGGUUGUAAAGUACUGUCAGCGGGGAGGAAGGGAGUAAAGUUAAUACCUUUGCUCAUUGACGUUACCCGCAGAAGAAGCACCGGCUAACUCCGUG